CGGAAAGUGUGGUUACAUUUCCUUUUUUUCACACUAUCUCUAAAAGACCAAAUCUGAGUUUUAUUUUACCUAACAAAAUUAAGAUGUUUGCCUUGAGCUGUCCAUCGUCAGGAAGCGGGAUUGUAUUUUAUACUGGUCUCACGUCUCAGUCAGCAAGCCUGAGCAUGUGGGACAAAGUCCAAUACAUGUACUAAAGAUGUUUGCCUUGAGCUGCCCGUCGUCAGGAAGCAGGAUUGUAUUUGACACUCAGCUCACGUUUCAACCAGCAAGUCUGAGCUUGUGG